rfam:Colletotrichum orbiculare MAFF 240422 contig06050, whole genome shotgun sequence.
CAACCUGAUGAAACGGCACUGGGCUCCGAGAGUACCCAAAAGGGACUCGGCAUGAGCAGACAAGCCACCUUGCGGCAGGCCUAGAAAACCUCGCCCACUGAUC